rnacentral:rRNA from 1 species
AUUGAACGCUGGCGGCAGGCUUAACACAUGCAAGUCGAGCGGAGCGGCGGACGGGUGAGUAAUGCUUAGGAAUCUGCCUACUAGUGGGGGACAACAUCUCGAAAGGGAUGCUAAUACCGCAUACUAAUAGAUGCGCCUAAGUCGGAUUAGCUAGUUGGUGGGGUAAAGGCCUACCAAGGCGACGAUCUGUGGCGGGUCUGAGAGGAUGAUCCGCCAAAAUGGGACGGGGGCACGGCCCAGAAUCCUACGGGAGGGAGGAGUGGGGAAUAUUGGAAAAUGGGGGGAACCCGGAUCCAGCCAUGGCGCGUGGGUGAAGAAGGCCUUAUGGGUGGAAAGCACUUUAAGCGAGGAGGCGUUACUCGCAGAAUAAGCACCGGCUAACUCUGUGCAAGCAGCCGCGGUAAUAC